rnacentral:lncRNA from 1 species
CGACCUUCAAAUCCAUUACGGAUUCUAUAAAAGGGUGGCAUAUACUCAUGGACAUAGAAUAAUCUCGAAUUUAAAAUUAACUAAUGAACAGAAAAGGUUUUGAAAGCUUUCCAAGAAUUUAAAGCAGGUAAUAAUGCAUCAAACUGAAGCAGAAACAAUAAUAAUUGAUACAGAAUAAAUGAGUCUUGCAGUUAAAUAAUCGCACCAAAUAACAGUCGAGAACUUAACUAAUACUGUAUCCUCCAAAAGCAUAUUUAUAUGUGAUUCAAGUCACAAUAUUCAUACAUGGAAUGUAUCACAUGCAUAUAUCAUCUAUCAAGUAUCAAAAGGAAAUUGCUCUACAGAGGUCUAAGUGUUAGAGCGUUCUCAUCAUAUACUGAUUUAAACAGUAAAAGAAAACUUUGCUCUAAUCCCAAUCAGAAGCCAAGAAACUCUUCUUAAUCACCUGGAGAUCACAAUAUUCGGCGUACUGCCUUAGAUCAAAUUACCUUCUCACAACAAGGAAAAAAAAAACUUAAAUCAUUCUAUAGGUAAAAAACCAGAUCUCCAUAAAAGUUUUGACCCGAAAGAAACUUUUAUUUGAAACUUUGCACUCCUAGAGAACCCGAUGGCUCUAAUACCAGUUGUUGGGUUUUGUAAUCCUACAAAUAUAAAAAAGAUGAACAAUAAACCACAACCACAGAGAAGAAAAAUAAAGGAACAUAAAAAAAUAUUCACUAGGUUUCACAAAUGCCUAAUCUAGGGGGUUCAAAGAUUAGUCCAAACACUAAGCACAACAGAAACCUUUCAAAAAGAGAGUAUAGAUUAUGAAACCUAACCAGAGAACUGCUUGCAAUUCUACAGACUUAAUCAUUGACCUACAAACAAAUCUCUUAAAUUAAACCUAACCAGAGAACUACUUGCACUUCUACAGACUCAAUACUAGCCACUAUUACAGACCUAAUUUUACGGUAGUAACAUGAACCAAAGGGGAUUCCACAACUAUUUUGGCUAGAACCUCAUAAGAAAUCAUAGAUCGAAACAAAGAAGAAGACUGAGAACUACAGAGAGAAAGAGGAACUCAAACGAAAAAGUUAGAACGAAAAUGAAUAAUCCAAACUACUCCCAACCCCAAAGAGUCAUAGUGAAAUGACUUAUUCUCAACCGUAGAUUGGAUUCAACUUUCCAUCAUCCACGUGAUGAAGCAUAGUCCAAGUUAAAGAUUGAGGGCCAAUCUGGGAUUGCC